UACGUAGGGGGCUAGCGUUGUCCGGAAUCAUUGGGCGUAAAGCGCGCGUAGGCGGCCAGAUAAGUCCGGUGUGAAAGCCACAGGCUCAACCUGUGAAUGCUGCUGGAAACUGUCUGGCUAGAGUCCGGGAGGGGCGAGUGGAAUUCCUGGUGUAGCGGUGAAAUGCGCAGAUAUCAGGAGGAACACCAAUGGCGAAGGCAGCUCGCUGGAACGGAACUGACGCUGAGGCGCGAAAGCGUGGGGAGCGAACAGG
rnacentral:rRNA from 1 species